UCUCUUUUAUACCUAAUUGCUAGGUAAUCCAACGCGUUGGUGAACUCGGUUCGGCGAUCCGACGAGUCUGCGCAGAGAUAUUAAAGAAAAGCCUGUUUUUGGCUUCAUUUGCCGCAGUCGAAAGGAAUAAUAGGCUGAAAAUUUCGAAACUUGGAAUCUAGCUUCGUGGUAUCACCAGAAGGUGGGGGGUGUCCACCCCGAAGCAGUUGAACUUCUUCCUAUGUCCGAAUUGUUCUAAUAUAG
rnacentral:lncRNA from 1 species